rnacentral:rRNA from 1 species
UACGAGGGGUGCUAGCGUUGUCCGGAAUUACUGGGCGUAAAGGGUCCGUAGGCGUCUUGACAAGUUGAUCGUUAAAUCCACCGGCUUAACCGGUGAACUGCGGUCAAAACUUGCAGGAUAGAAUAUGUGAGAGGAAAGUAGAAUUCCUGGUGUAGCGGUGACAUGCGUAGAUAUCAGGAGGAACACCAAUGGCGAAGGCAGCUUUCUGGCACAAUAUUGACGCUGAGGGACGAAAGCGUGGGGAGCGAAC